CGCACAUUUCCUGGACGCAUAAAAUGGCAAAGCAGGCGCCUCAGACUUCUCUAUCUUAUUUCAAGGAACAAGAAUUGUUUUCUGUGAGACGAUAUAGCUAGCGCAUAGCGACAACUGUGUUUUUAUAACUUACAGAACUUGAGAACAUUGCCCGCGUGAAAAUAAAGCAUACGUUCCAAUCUCGGAAUUGAAUUUGCUGGAAGAAGAUAAUGUUAUUUGCGCUAUAAGAGAAACGCCCAAACCUUUGCACGCACAGCAAUAACGAGAAAUAACAGACAAGAAAGCCAAGGAUGGUACGGACGUACAAGAGAACAUCAUCUAGAGUUUCCUGGGACGAAAACGACAUGAAAAAUGCACUGAAUGCUUUUCAGCAGUUUCGGAGCAACACAACGUCGGGUUCUGUUUGGAUUCAAUGCGUGGAGUGCAAAGACUGGGCUCGUGAAGACUGCGUGGGGGCCCACGGAGUGAAUUUGAAGUGCUUUUACUGCAAGAACUCAAAGGAUAAA